rnacentral:lncRNA from 1 species
CAUUAUUACUGCACACUUGAACGUUCUGCGAAUUUACUCUGUGAAUUGGAAAUUAAGGACCUUCUAUUACAUCCUGUGUAUGCUCUGCAGUGUCUUUUCCACAUGUGUUCAGUGUAAAGACAAAAUGCAUUGUGCAGCACUUUUGUCAGGUAUUUUUUAUUUUACAUUUCUGCCCUUGUAUGUGGCUGUAGCUGAGGAUUUGCUCGCUCCUUCCUAUGUGUGUUGUUUAUUUAUAAGCAACACCAUCUUUCGGCAGCAAUAUCGAUAUGGAACAGCCCUUUCCCACCUUCCCUGCCCCCAGCCUUGCUCCCUUUGGCUGCUCUUAAAAUGGGCUUUACAGAGCGAGAGAGGCCAACUUGAGGAGCAUGCACACUGCGAUACCCUCAGUGGUUCCUUUUCCAAUGUGUUCUCCUCCAGCCAGUGA